rnacentral:rRNA from 1 species
AUAAUGAAACUUCAUGUCAAACUAGACUACACCUCUCUACGCGUCUUUGGUUGUGCAUGUUGGCCUAAUCUCCGUCCAUAUAACACCAGAAAACUCAUGUUUCGCUCCAAACAAUGUGUGUUCCUUGGGUAUAGUGCUCAACACAAGGGGGUCAAGUGUCUCGAUGUCUCCUCUGGUCGUGUCUACAUCUCUCGCGACGUAGUAUUCGAUGUGACUAAGUUUCCCUUUUUUGCUCUCCAUCCCAAUGUCGGUGCCUUGCUCUGUAAAGAAAUUCUCCGUUUGCCAUCAACUCUCACCGGCCUUGAUCCAAGGGAAAAUAACUGUGUUGACUCUAUGAUGACUAACCCGCUCACCACGUUGCAUGAGUUGUGUGAUGAU